CAUGCAAGUCGAGCGGAUGACGGGAGCUUGCUCCUUGAUUCAGCGGCGGACGGGUGAGUAAUGCCUAGGAAUCUGCCUGGUAGUGGGGGACAACGUUUCGAAAGGAACGCUAAUACCGCAUACGUCCUACGGGAGAAAGCAGGGGACCUUCGGGCCUUGCGCUAUCAGAUGAGCCUAGGUCGGAUUAGCUAGUUGGUGAGGUAAUGGCUCACCAAGGCGACGAUCCGUAACUGGUCUGAGAGGAUGAUCAGUCACACUGGAACUGAGACACGGUCCAGACUCCUACGGGAGGCAGCAGUGGGGAAUAUUGGACAAUGGGCGAAAGCCUGAUCCAGCCAUGCCGCGUGUGUGAAGAAGGUCUUCGGAUUGUAAAGCACUUUAAGUUGGGAGGAAGGGCAGUAAGCUAAUACCUUUCUGUUUUGACGUUACCGACAGAAUAAGCACCGGCUAACUCUGUGCCAGCAGCCGCGGUAAUACAGAGGGUGCAAGCGUUAAUCGGAAUUACUGGGCGUAAAGCGCGCGUAGGUGGUUCGUUAAGUUGGAUGUGAAAGCCCCGGGCUCAACCUGGGAACUGCAUCCAAAACUGGCGAGCUAGAGUACGGUAGAGGGUGGUGGAAUUUCCUGUGUAGCGGUGAAAUGCGUAGAUAUAGGAAGGAACACCAGUGGCGAAGGCGACCACCUGGACUGAUACUGACACUGAGGUGCGAAAGCGUGGGGAGCAAACAGGAUUAGAUACCCUGGUAGUCCACGCCGUAAACGAUGUCAACUAGCCGUUGGAAUCCUUGAGAUUUUAGUGGCGCAGCUAACGCAUUAAGUUGACCACCUGGGGAGUACGGGCCGCAAGGUUAAAACUCAAAUGAAUUGACGG
rnacentral:rRNA from 1 species